GCCGACCAUCAUAUAUAAGGACAAAUCAUGUUUGGAUGACCCUGCAUAUCUGACCCAAACCUUUUUUUUCUGCAAAGGGAACAGCAUUGGAAUCACUCUCAAAAGAAAUUGCAUAACAGCCCUAAGAGGACAACUUUCUACAAUGGGCCGUCCACUAAGCCUUAAACAUUGAGUAGCAUUCACUCACCUACUGAUGUGGACCAGACUAUGGACCUGAAACCCAACAGAAUGCAUAAAAGGUAAAAUGGAAGAGCCUGGUAGAAAAAAGGACUCGACUUCUGGUUUUAAGAGCAUCCUACCUUGUACACCUGCCCGUAGGUGCCAUUUCCCACCAGCUCGACAAGGUCAAAAAUGCCAGAAGGAUCCUGCAAAUGCAAAGGAAACACAGCAGAAUGGUUUCUUCUCAAUGGAAGUAAUAUUAACCUGUUGGAGUGGCCCAACUAGAAUCCCGACUCGAAUCUAAUAGAGAACCUGUGAAGGGAGCUGAAAAUUAGCGUGAUGGCAAGUAGGCCAACCCCAAAGACUUGGUGCCAAUUGCCAAAGAUAAAUGUCAAUAUUAUACUGAA